rnacentral:tRNA from 1 species
AUUUAAAUAGUUUAUACAAAAUAGUAAAUUGUGGAUUUACAGAAGAAGUAAUUUUUUAAAUA